GUGGGAGUUUAAAAAGAAAUCAGACAAAGGUAAAGGUAUCUCUCAAACCUGUAAAGAAUGAAGCUAUCAACUCAAUUGAUAAUAUUUCUAUCAAGUGAAAGAAUCCAGCAUUGGCUCACUAAGCAGCUGAAAAGACAAGCAUUAGUUAAGAAUAGAAUUGAAGGCCUAAUUUUGGAAGUUUCUUGUUUGUGUGUGUCUGCAUAUGAACUAGAAGUAGAUGAUCCUGGGAAAACCCAUCUGGUGACAUCAGAUCUGAAAUGAAGAUGGUGGAUGAGGGAAUAGUAGACAAUGCCAUAUCCUCCGGCUGGCAGAUGCUGAAGUUUGCUAACUACCUGAAUUAGGACUGGAUACUUUGGUACAUUUCAAAAAGAGGCAGCUUUACUGAAAGUGACAGAUGACUUAUGGACCAGGAACUCUGAGCAAGAUUGCCUUUGUUGUAUAUGUAUAUGUGUGAAUUAUUAAGCAGCUGAUGCACAAG